rnacentral:rRNA from 1 species
GACAGAGGUGCCAAGCGUUAGGCGGAAUCACUGGGCUUAAAGCGUGUGUAGGUGGACUGGUAAGUACCUUGUGAAAUCCCACGGCUCAACCGUGGAACUGCUGGGUAUACUGCUGGUCUUGAGCCUUCUAGGGGCGAGUGGAACAAAUGGUGGAGCGGUGAAAUGCGUAGAUAUCAUUUGGAACGCCAAUGGUGAAAACAACUCGCUGGGGAAGUGCUGACACUGAGACACGAAAGCUAGGGGAGCAAACGGG